rnacentral:rRNA from 1 species
CGAACGCUGGCGGCGUGCUUAACACAUGCAAGUCGAGCGGUAAGGCCCUUUCGGGGGUACACGAGCGGCGAACGGGUGAGUAACACGUGGGUGACCUGCCCUCAGCUCUGGGAUAAGCCGUGGGAAACCGGGUCUAAUACUGGAUAUGACUCCAUGACGCAUGUUGUGGGGUGGAAAGCCUUGUGCGGCUGAGGAUGGGCCCGCGGCCUAUCAGCUUGUUGGUGGGGU